UACGAGUGCUCCAAGCGUUAUCCGGAAUUACUGGGCGUAAAGGGUGUGUAGGCGGUUUUGUUAGUCUUAUGUUAAAGCCUCCCGCUUAACGGGAGAAGCGCAUAGGAAACGGCAUAACUAGAGGAUGCGAGAGGUGAACAGAACUCAUGGUGUAGGGGUGAAAUCCGUUGAUAUCAUGGGGAAUACCAAAUGCGAAGGCAGUUCACUGGCGCACUCCUGACGCUCAAACACGAAAGCGUGGUAGCGAAUGGGAUUAGAUACCCGUGUAGU
rnacentral:rRNA from 1 species